UACUUCCAAUCCUUCCUAAAUCAUUCCCAAAUUGCGAUAUCAUCUUCUCCUUCUCAAUUUCGAUUCCCUGGUACGCCUUUGCAGUUUUUGCUUUCUAAAUCUUGCUGCAUUUUUUUGCUUGUUCUCAAUCUAGUAUUGAAUCAUUCCACAGCCCCAUUUUGUUUUGCUUCAAAAUUGCCAUACCCAUUCAUUUACUGUGUUAACUCAACAAAUUUUGAUGAUCAAUGGCUUAUUUGUUUCUUCACAACGCACGUAAUUACACACCAACUGUGCUUUUCUAGGUUUACUGACAAUAUCUUAUUCGUAUGA